CCUUUUCCCCAUUAUCAUAAUAAAGGAACAAAAUACCCUUCAUAGCUCUGCUGACCAGGAGAUGGCCUUGAAGAAACUGCAGAGACACAAACUGCUAUUCCUAACUCUGUUGUUCAUAAGGCUAGACGACUGGGCAGUGAGUCAAGAGUGUGAAAUCGACACUCUGGGCCAGAUUCAGAAGCACAAGAGGACCAGGACAGUGAAUGUCUGUUUUUACAUUACCUGCUUCUUUUGUGAGAUAGGAGUUCGUUCCCAAGGGUGCAAGAAAAAGAGUGAGCAGGCUUGCUGAAGCUUGUCACCCCAGCACUCAGAGAUGGACAGAGCAUGAGACGAGGCGCCUCUCAGAAGCUGAGGAGGAUGGCCCUGCACUCGGGAGCAAAGGCCACCUUGAUCAAUUCUACUGGCAUUAACCCCCCUGUAAAUCAUUGCAAUGUGUUUUCUAUGUUGGAAAUAAAAUGACAUUGUUAAAUGA